rnacentral:misc_RNA from 1 species
UUUCCGUAGGUGAACCUGCGGAAGGAUCAUUAAAAAAUUGGACUCCAUUGGUGAGUUCAUUAAUAAUCCCUACCCUUUGUGAAUUUGUUUGUUUGAAUAAUUUUUUUUCCAAAAAAAAAUUAUUGAAUGUCUUUCCCUGUUUUGGUGGAGCUUGUAAAGUGAAACCAGGCAGGGGAAUGGCAAACAAUAAUUAUUUUUGAAAAAAGACCUUUUUUUAAAAUUAAACUUUUUGUAUUCAUUUGUCUAAAAUUAUUUUUAUAAUAUAAAAACAACUUUUGACAAUGGAUCUCUUGGUUCUCGCAACGAUGAAGAACGCAGCAAAAUGCGAUAAGUAGUGUGAAUUGCAGAAUACGUGAAUCAUCGAAUCUUCGAACGCAUAUUGCACUUUUUUAGUUUACUAAAAAAGUAUGUCUGUUUGAGUAUCAGUAAAAUAUUCUCAUAAAAAACAUUGUUUUUUUAUGGUUAUGAGUGUUUUACAACGAUAACAAGUUGUUUCACUUUAAAUUCUUUGUUAUCAAAAAAAUCAUUAAAAGCUAAUUUUAAAGAUUUUUUAAAAUUGGAUAAAAUUUUCCCGUAAAAAGGAAUAACCUAAACAAUUUUAAAAAAUUAAAAUUGGUUUGAUUUUUUUUGAAACCCAAAGGAAAAAAAAGCGAAAUUAACUUGAUCUCAAAUCAGAUAAGAGUACCCGCUGAACUUAAGCAUAUCAAUAAGCGGAGGAAAAGGAACUAACUAGGAUUCCCUCAGUAACGGCGAGUGAAGCGGGAAGAGCUCAAAUUUGAAAUCUUCAAGGUUUUACCUUGACGAAUUGUAGUUUAAAGAAGUGUUUUCUGUUGGAGUUUUGGUAAAAGUUCUUUGGAAAAGGACAUCAUAGAGGGUGAGAAUCCCGUAUUUGACCAUUAUCUCCAGCUUUGUGAUACACUUUCAAAGAGUCGGAUUGUUUGGGAAUGCAGUCCAAAAUGGGUGGUAAAUUUCAUCUAAAGCUAAAUACUGGCGAGAGACCGAUAGCGAACAAGUACCGUGAGGGAAAGAUGAAAAGAACUUUGAAAAGAGAGUUAAACAGUACGUGAAAUUGUCAAAAGGGAAGCGUUUGACACCAGUGUUGUUUUCUCGAAAAUCAAUUAAAAAAGGCCGGAUUUUGUGUUGUAUUGACUUUAUCAGCUUUCUGCACUUUUUUCUUGUCUUUUUUAAUGCACUUUUCGUUUAACAAGUCAACAUCAAUUUCUUUUGUUGUAAAAGGGUCAUUGGAAGGUGGCUUUCUUUUCGGAGAAAGUGUUUAUAGCCUUUGGCCUCUGCAGUCGGAGAGAUUGAGGUCUGCAGCGUAGAUCCUUCGGGGUUAGAUACAUUUGUGCUAAGUUAUAGCCUUUCAUAGACAACUUGUUGACUAUGAUCAGUCAUGUAGCUUACUCGCUUAUGCUAUUUUACCUACGCUUAGGAUGUUG